rnacentral:rRNA from 1 species
GAGUUGUUUGGGAAUGCAGCUCAAAAUGGGUGGUAAAUUCCAUCUAAAGCUAAAUAUUGGCGAGAGACCGAUAGCGAACAAGUACCGUGAGGGAAAGAUGAAAAGCACUUUGGAAAGAGAGUGAAACAGUACGUGAAAUUGUUGAAAGGGAAGCGUUUGAAGUCAGUCGUAUCUGGCGGGAUUCAGCCGGGCUUUUGCCAGGUGUACUUCUCGUCCGAUGGGUCAGCAUCAAUUUCGACUGGGGGAAAAAGACGUCCGGAAUGUGGCUGUCUUCGGGCAGUGUUAUAGCCGUUCGUUGUAUGCCUCGGUUGGGAUUGAGGAACGCAGCGCGCCUCUUGGCCAGGGGUUCGCCUCUUGACACGCGCUU